rnacentral:rRNA from 1 species
UACGGAGGGAGCUAGCGUUGUUCGGAAUUACUGGGCGUAAAGCGCACGUAGGCGGCUUUGUAAGUUAGAGGUGAAAGCCCGGGGCUCAACUCCGGAACUGCCUUUAAGACUGCAUCGCUUGAAUCCGGGAGAGGUGAGUUGGAAUUCCGAGUGUAGAGGUGAAAUUCGUAGAUAUUCGGAAGAACACCAGUGGCGAAGGCGGCUCACUGGACCGGUAUUGACGCUGAGGUGCGAAAGGCGUGGGGAGCAAACAGG